rnacentral:ribozyme from 1 species
GUGCGGUGGCUCUAGGAGGACCUUCCUUAGGAGGAAGUGGCUGGGCCUUUUAGCUUUUGAGUAGAGCAUAGUUUGGGCUUUCCCCUUUUUGUUGUGUGGGAUGCUUGUAACAAGUGGCUUUCCCCCUCUAUUCUUUUCUGCUGC